CUCAUUUUCUCACUUUGAAUUUUUGGUUUCGUUGAUUUUCGGUUUCGUUGAUUUUCUUCGUGUUUUCUCACGAAGUGUAACGGUCUUGCACAAUGUCUCGACGUGGCGGUGGCCGUCGGUCGGAUUCUCGACAAGACCAGCAAUCAUCAUCUCCCUCGCCGUCAUUUCAGCGCGGUGGUGGAGGCGGUAGAGGUGGAAGAGGUGGCAGAGGACGUGGUGGUCCUGGAUAUCAUCCGGCUCCAGCUUUCACUCAAGCUGCUUCUACCCCGGCUUCGGCUUUCCCUCCAAUAUCCCGUCCGCCGGCUCCUGCUUCCUCUCCGGCAGCUCCUGCCCCGUCGGUUGCUCCGACGCCUCCUGAAGCUGUGGCUUCUUCUUCGCGAGCACCGCCGCCUAAGGCCGCUGCCUCGAGUUCGACGGCGGUGGAGGAGUUGAGACGAGAGGUGGAACAAAAGCUGACAGUUGGAGAUCAGUUGACCAAGGAUGUUCGUUUCCCGUCUAGGCCUGGGUUUGGGACCGUCGGCAGGAAGUGUGUGGUCAGGGCGAACCAUUUUUUGGUCCAAAUCGCAGAUAGAGAUCUGUGUCAUUAUGAUGUAACGUUUCUUAAUCCGAUUACAUUUGCAUACAUACGUCCAUGAUGAUAACAACUAUUAUAUAAGAUGACUUUUUUACACUGUUUAUAAGGACUAAUCCGGAUGUUGUUUUCUGUGUGUGUUAUUUUCUCUUCUGUUUUAUGAAUUCUUGAAUUGAAUGCAGAUAGUUUUAUUAAUUUUUAACCAUUUCCCCUUUAUAAUUUGGUCCUUUUUCUUCUUCUACUUCUCUCUCUUUUUCUUCCAGCAUGUUUUGGUUUUUAUGAUCUUCUGCUGAAUUUAUCGAUCAAUG
rnacentral:misc_RNA from 1 species